rnacentral:lncRNA from 10 species
AUCCACCAAUAGAGUUUUGUGAGGAUUAAAUAAGAACCUGCAUAGAAGGGGAUUUGUUUUGUGUCUGGAACUAAUAGUACUCAAGUAUUAACUGCCACUGUUAUUCCUGGAGGGCGUGGACUAAUUUAGAAGUAGAACUUGAGUGAAGAGGAAUUGCCAGCUGCCUUGAAGGCACUCGAAGCACUGAGAAAGGAAGUUAAAGGAUUGUCCGGAGCAUGAGAAUGAAGAUGAAUUGCUAAACGAAUUGUGAUACAGCCACACAAUGGACUACUGCUCAGCAAUAAAAAGGAAUGAACUAUUGAUAUGCCCAACAACGUAGAUGAACCUCAAAACCGUUAUGCCGAGCAUGGUGGCUGACGCUGGUAAUUCCACCACUUUGGAAGGCCAAGAUGUGAGGAUCACUUGAACCCGGGAGUUCCAGACCAGCCUGGACAGCAUAGUGAGAUUCUGUCUCUAUGCAAAAUAAAAUAAAAUAAAAAAUUAUCCAGGCACGGUGGCAUGCGCCUGUAGUUCCAGCUACUUGGGAGGCUGAGGCAAGAGGAUUGCUGGAACCCAGGAAGUUGAGGAUGCAAUAAGCUUGAUCACGCCACCACACUCCAGUCUGGGCGACGGAGCGAGACCCUGCCUCAAGAGAACAAACAACAACAACAGAAACCUAUGUUUCCCUCUAUGCACUGCUUUAGCUCGUUCAAUUUAAAAUAGUCUCUAAUUUCCCUCGUAUGUCUUUUAUGAUCCAUAAAUAAUUUAUAAGGGUGCUGUUUAAUUUCCAAAUAUUUGUGAUUUCCUCUGAAAUAGAUUAUUCCCACUGACUUAUUUCUGAUUUGUUUCACACAGUGUGCUUUGUAUGAUUUUAAUACAUUUAAAUUCAUUUAAAAUUGUUUUAUGGCCCAACAUAUGGUCAGUCUUGAAAAAUGUACUUCUUUUCACUUGAAAAGAAGUGUGUUUUUCAGUUCUAUAAAUGGUGUCCUAUGAAUUUCAAUUAGAUCAUGGGAGUUGAUAAUGUUAAAAUCUUCUAAGUCUACUGAUUUUUAAAAAUCUAGCUGUUGUAUUAAUUGGUAAGAAGAGUCUUAAAUAUAAUACUCUGACUGUAAAAUAGUCUAUUUUUUCUUUUCAUUCUGUCGAUUUUUGCCUGAUGUAUUUUGAAACUCUGUUCUUAGGUCUAUACACAUUUAUAAUUAUGUCUACACACAUUUAUAAUUAUGUCUACCUGAUCAAUUGUUCUUUUUUCUCAUAAUAAAAUAUCCCUCAUCUCUUCUAAUAU